AUAAGAUUCGAACAUCGGUCUACCGAGCAAUUUGACCAGUUCGGUGGAAGAUCUUCCUUAUCUCGU
rnacentral:pre_miRNA from 1 species